CCCAUGUUCUUUCAUUGUACUUAGAAAUAAUCACAACAAAUCUUGAGAGGAAAAACAUAUCAUUCUAAUUUCUAUAAAUACAGGCACUGAAUCUUAAAAGUUCUGCAAAUUGCCUAAGAACACACCAUGAACUGUGGGAGCUAGGUUCCUUCUGAUGAUAAAUUCCAAAGCUGUCUACACCUACCAUGGUUAUGCACGUGGGCUCCAGAAUGAGCAGACUUUCCUUCACAUCCCAGCUCUGCCAUUUUCCAGGUAGGUAACCCUAGGGACAUCAUUUACCUCUGGAAAACGAAAUCUAAUUCUCAAAUUAACUUAAUAGUAAUUAUACCUCAUGGGAUUAUUAUUGGGAAUAAAAUGAAAUUCUUAGCCUAGAACUUGUAACAUAUUAAUCAAUAUAAAGUUAUCUCCUCUCAUCAUCUUCUUCUUCAUCAUCAGCAUCAUCUUCAACUGUACCAGUGGCAAUGGGUAAAUUAAUGAUCUGAGGAAGUCUGUGGAAGAAAAGCAAGUACCAGUUACCAAAAGCUAUGAAUGAGUUUUACCAAAAAUUGGUGCAGGACUAACCAUCACUGACACAAGUCUGGGAUCAUGGUGGGGAAACUGAGGCCUGGAAAGGUCAUCCAGCCUCAAGGGCCAGACUUAAGAUUUAAACCUGCAAUUUUAACCAGCAUGUUCCAUUGGCCUGGAAUUUAUCCUUCUCAGAUGCAGUCAUUCUUCAA
rnacentral:lncRNA from 1 species